rnacentral:misc_RNA from 1 species
GGACAGCCAAAUUGAGCAAAUUAAAAACUGAAAGCAUCUCAAGUUUGAAAUUUCUUAAAGAAACUUAUCUU